rnacentral:lncRNA from 1 species
AAGUUGGGGGGUGUUGUCCUGGCCGAAGUUGAGGGGUGUAUACCGUCUUAAGUAAGACGGUGAACUGUUUACCGUCUUAUCGAGGGCACAGCAGUUCCAAAGACGGAGAUGUAUUCGCUCUAAAGACGGUGAAUAGUUCACUGUCUCAUGAAGGCGGUGAACCAUCUACCGUCUUCAUGAGAAAUGUGCAUAGACGGUGAACGAUUCACCGUCUUUACGAGAAAAAUCCGACCUGGCGCCGACGUGGCGAAAGGAGGGUUAGUUUUACAAAUAAAAUUUUCANGACAGAGGAGAAGCUCGCGCGCGGGUGAGUGAGAGAGAAAGGAAAGGGGCUCGGGCGGGGUAGGGUAUACUGCUUAAAGGCGGUGAAUGGUUCACCGCUUUUAAAAGCGGUGAACCAUUCACCGUCUUUAAAAGCGGUGAACCAUUCACCGUCUUUAAAAGCGGUGAACUAUUCACCGCCUUUAAAAGCGGUAUUUAAUGGUCCCAGCACACGUGACGGAGGUAUUUGAUGGGCCCACAAAUGCGGUGAAUGGUUUACCGCAUAUAUAUGCGGUAAACCAUUCACCGCAUUUUUCUGCUUGCUGACCUGGCCGAUUUGGAGACUAUUUUUACAAAUAAAUUUUAAGGAGGCCUAUUUUUGUAAAUAAAAGUUUCAAGAAGACUAUUUAUAAANUUACGAGAAAAAUCCGACCUGGCGCCGACGUGGCGAAAGGAGGGUUAGUUUUACAAAUAAAAUUUUCAGAGGGUUAUUUUGCCAAUUACAAAAUUUCACAGGGUUAUUUUCGAAAAAAGUCCCUCUUCCGUCUUCACCGUUCGUCCUCCAUGAUCUUCAUCUUUUCUUUUUCUCUUUUUCUUAUGUUUUUUUUAGCAGAAUAUAAGGGAUUUUUUUUCUUGAGCUUCUAAUUAGAAUUUUAUGUAAAUUUUCUUACAGAAAUUUAGGUAGAUUGUAUCCCGCUCAACUUCCUCCCUGUCGAGCCAAAUAUUUUUGCGAGGUAGCAAUAAUCGAGCCAACGGGCCGAAAGCGAGCUAGCUCGAAUAAAUUGCGAGGCGAUCACGAGCUGGACUUUUCGAG